rnacentral:lncRNA from 1 species
UUUGACCUACUGAAGAUGAACUUAAAAUAGUUUAAAAUCAUUGCAUCCAAUCUUCCAUUCCAUUCGUUUCGUUCGAUGCAAUAGAUGUUUAUAAUAAUAAUUAUCUACCCAGCGCCCAUCCCAUUUGCUUUAGGACUCAAGGAUGUGUAUCAAUAUCUCUAAAAAUUUAUAGCUAGGAUCUUUUCCUCUUUUUUUUCUCCUCCUAGGCUAUAUAUGUAUAUAGGUCAUAUAUACUUUAUUUUUAGUUUAUUUCAGAAUUUAUAAACAGAUCAUCCUAUUGUUGUUGAGGAUAUUGAAGUCUACUAUGGUUCUUAAGAUUUAGUAUAACUUUAUGGGUUCUUCUGCAGGCGAUAAUAUGCAUGGUAUGUUCCUAUGAUUUAUAAAUUUAUGGGUUCUUUUUUGCCUUUUUUUUCCUUUCGUUAAUUCUAUAUGCAUAACUAGGUCUACAUAUGUUAAUUUACUCAUUUCUUUUGGUUAAUAUAUAUAUAUAUAUAUAACUGUGUUUUGUGUUUUUUGUAUCUAUGACUCUAUAGGUUCGGUCAUCUUUACUUCUCCUUUUGGUCCAUUCUCGCGUCUGAAUGCUCGCCGUUGUACCCCAGUUAGUAUAAUUUACUUCUAUUUUUCACUCACUUUGUACAUUAACAUUGAUAUAUACUUAUAUAUUGUUCUUUUUUAUUGAUAAAUAAUAGUGUCCACUACUGCCCGAAUUUCCCCUGCACCUAAAAAAUAUCUUAUUUUUUCUCCUCUUUGUGUACUCACAAGUAUUGCUUAUUGUUAUUUUUCAUGUUGUGUUAUUAAAUUUCUUUUAUUGACGUGGACUAUUUUAGUCAUCCCUCUUAAUAAUCUGUCCAAGUAGUUUAAAGAAAAACUUUAAGGCGGAUUGUUUGUCGAUUGAGAAAAAUGCCCACGAAACCAUUAUGUUCUAGCAGUGAGGCUGGGUUUAAUAAAAACUGAAUAAAUCUGAAUCUGAAUGAGCUGAAUCUGAAUGAAAAAAACUGUUUGAUAAUUGACAUGUCUGAAACAUCUAAAUGACAAAACUUUAUUAUUUUACCUCUAAAAAAAUUCAAAAUUGUUGUACAUUUAUUUAAUAUUACUUAAUAUAAUAGUUAAUAUAUUUUUUUAAUUUUUUAAAUUUUUUUUAAAUUUUUUUACUUCAUUCAGCUGCUCAUUUAGCCAUUCAACCCAAAAAAUCUGACUUAGUCAUUCAGCUCGUUUAUCUUACCGAUUCAGUCAUUCAGACCAAAACAAACGCACUGAACGAUUCAGCAAUUCAGAUUCAGCUCCAUUCAGUUCUAAACAAACACCCCCUCAGUGGCAUGCCUCCCUAAUUUUGGGAGGCGGGUAGACCUUAAUUUCGAUAGUGAAGUUGCCUUGCUUCCUUUUUCCGGUGGUGUUCUUUCUGUUUGUGUUGUAUAUUUAUACCUUUUAAGUAGACAUAAUAUGACACGAUCAAGAGGUUACAUUCUUCAUCUGUGAGACUAGAGAAGAGGCGCACAAAUCUCGUGAGGGACUCGCUAAGCUUGGAAAGUACAGGAACAAUAAUCUUUUGCCGUUGUGUGUCCAAAUGUUGGGUGUUGUUGGUUACUCAAUCGUAAUUCUGAUACUAGCAUAUUUGGGUAAUAACAUUAACAAAGUUAGAGGAAUAACUUUAGGAGUAGGAGUUCAUGGAGCUCUUAGCUGGCCAAGAGCAACAGAUGGGAUAAAAUGGGCUUUGUCUAACGAUAAUUUUUUGGUUCAAACUUUGCUUGAUAAUAGAAAGUAACUUUGUUAUUUGGUUUACUUUUUCUUGGCAUCAUGGCAUGUAACAAACAUGUGGUGUUUAUAAUUGGGCAUUUGAGGGUCUGGAGCAUAUUAGGUUAUUACUUACCAAAUGGAGGUGGUUGUUCUGGAGCAUAUUCGGGUCUCCUCUCCUGGAUAUUUGUUUGCAAAGUGACCCAACUUAGUAUUUGGCUCUUUAUCUUAUGCACAUGUACUAUAAACUAUAACUAAGCUCAUUGCCUACAUCAAAUUCCAAUAAUGACAAAAGUCCAUUUAGCUGUGAUUUAUUUAGAGUUCACAGCGGUAGCACAUUUUAUGCUCUCUCUUCCAUAUUUUUUGGUUCUCAAAAUAAAGUUUUUCGAUUAGACUUUUACAUGCUCUUCCAAAUUAUUACAAAUUUUGAUCAUGAGUGGUUAUGGUUGGCAAGUUUUUUGAAUGGUGGAAGAAGUUUUAGAUAAAUAUGCCGGACAGUUAUGGCGUUUUAGUAUUAUUUUUUUUUGGAUAACUUAUGGCAAAUUAAUUAUUCACCAUUAUACAUAGUUAUUGAAGAGACUAUUACGGGGGUGUUUGUUUAGAGCUGAAUGAAGCUGAAUGGCUGAAUCGGUCAGCCAUUCAGUGCGUUUGUUUUGAAUAAAAAUAGUCUGAAGGUCAGAUUUUUGGGCUGAAUGGCCAAGUGUAAUUUUUUUGGCUGAAUGACCGUUGAAUGAAGUAUUUUAUAUUUAAUUUUUUAACAAUAUUAACUAUUAUAUUAAGUAAUAUUAAAUAAAUUUACAACAAUUUUGAAUUUUUUAAUAAGGGUAAAAUAAUAAAAAUAUGUUAUUCAGAUGUUCCAGACAUGUCAAUUAUAAACAACUCUUUUUAUUCAACAUUCAGAAUUAUGCUUCAUUCAACUCAUUUAGAUUACUUAAACAUUCAGAAUUAUUUCAUUCAGUUUUAUUAAACACCCCCUAAGAGGAGCUAGUAAGGUAAGGGGUAUUUCAAUACAAGACAAGAAUGACAGAUUGGAAGAAUCAUAAUCAUUUCUGUUAAUUAAUAGUAUGGAUAGGUGUCAUUAAAUAGAAAAUACUAGUAGUAUAUUACAGCUUAUGUAACUUUAUAAAACAGAUGCUAGUCAUUUUAAAAUAUAAAAGAAAGUUAGUUUCUAAAAUGUAUAAAGAACUGUUGUUUUAGUUGGGGGAAGUGUUUCUGUUUCCACAGCUUCUUCACAGGGAAGACUAGCUAGGUCAGUAUUCUGUCAGGUAAAGCCAUUGCCUUGGGCUAAUAUUGGUUAAGAGUACUGCAAUUUUUAAAAAAUAAAUAAUGAUAACAUGAAAAGAGUAUUAAGAGUUGUCUGCCCUAAAGAAAGAAAAAGAAUGCAAUCAGUGGAUUUAGUUUCUACAUAUCUAUGUAAAUUCCCUUCAUGACUUGCCUCUGCCAUUUUAAACAUCUCUUUCUUUAUGCAUAUGCACUACCACGCUAUCCCCUGCCUCAACUUGUUACAAAUACAAUGCAAUGCGAAAGCUUUUUUUCAGCUCUUCAUUGAGGAGAAUCAGGAGAUCCUCAAAUAACCAGAAAAUUACAAGUUUUAUUUUAUUUCUGGUUCAAAUAAGAACUUAGUGAAUUGAUUUAGCUAAAGGCGUGGUUUUACUACUAUAUCAAUAGUAACCUAUUGCUCGGUUGCCUUGAACAUCCAUAUGAAUAUUGUUAGGGUAUGGUCCGAAGAACCUAAACUGGAGGCCCAUAGCUUCGGCCCACAAAGGAAUGGGAUGGGGGCCUAGCACGGGAGUCCGAGAGAUCCAAAUGCGAGGCCCAUGUUACCAAGCUAAGCUAUUACGACCCAAGGCCCAAUGAAUGAGACCUUAGGCCCAAAGAUCUAUGAAUGAGACCUUAGGCCCAAAGAUCUAUAGGGACUUGCGCACACACAAACUUGCGUCAUUUCCGGCUUUGGACGCAUGAUGUGACAUGGCGUCUCUUUAGUCAUGUGGGUUUGUCCCCCAACUACCACUGUUUGAUGGUACAGGACGAAGGGACAUAUUCCACUAUCCCAAGACUAUAAAAGGGAUAUUCAUGCCACAUGGAAGAGGUUAGAGACUUACACCUAACACACACUCAUACACCAUGCAUUUCAUUGAUAUUUUGUCUUUCAUUCCAAUAACUAACACUUACAUGGGAGGUGUUCCACGGCGGAACAACCCUUGGUCGACCAUGAGAACGUGUUUUACAAGGCUUAGAGAGCCAAGUGGAGCGCCAAAAACCCUACCCAACAUAUCAAAAAUUAAAGGUCCAUAAUCUAACACUGUUGAAGUAGUCAAUUGUCACUAUUCCUAUGUUAAGUGUUACCUAAAUGUACAUUUAUACUUUUGUUUCAUGUAUAUUUAUUAUUAUGUCUCUGAUUAUUGAUAUUCACGAUUCAUAGGUUCUAAAUUUUACGUGAUAAAUGUUUUGGAACCCAAUUCAUGUUAGACAAACCUUGUUGAACUAUCAAAAAGACUUGUGAAAUAACAAUUCCAUAUAUUUCUUUUGAUUGGUGUGUUUUCAUUAUUUUCAAUUCCUGUAUUUUGGAUCGUUGUGUGUGCCAAAGUCGUCCCCGUGUCAUGUAUCUGUGUCGUUGUUUCAUAUUUCAUGUAGGUUGAGUACAUAAUUUAGCUAUAGCAGCAAAAGUUUGGCCAACUAAUUUAACCUACAAGGUGUUUGUUAUUUAUUUAUUUUUCCCUUUCCAGGAUAUAUUGCAAGCUUGAAACCCAGCAUGAGUGAAGUUUCGUGGAGGGCUUUAGAUGAUUCAAAACUUUUUCAAGUUAUUCAAUGGACAUACAAGGGGAGCAUAAAUAACAAGAGGUUUGAAUAUUCACAAGUACAUGAGAUUUACCCUGCUCAACCCAUGAAUGAUCGGUUAUUAAUUUCCAUUGCCAUAUAUUAUAGUUUUCAAUGUUUCUCCCUCGGGUUCGUUAAAGAUUUAAGAACUGCUGCUGCAAUUGGCAGUAAACACAGAACUUUUAUGUCAUUUAAAAAAAAAGAUCUGACCUUCUUUGAAGCUUUGUUGAGAGCUAUGGUGUCUUGAGUGUUUAAUUAUUGUCUUGUAACUGUAUUUUUUCUAGUGGGGAUUCGUCAACGUAACUCAAUAGCCUAUAUUGUUUUUGUGUGCGUGUAAAAUUACAUCAAUAACGGGGAAAGGACAGGAAAUGUUUCCUUUUUAUCCCCUAUAACAUUGCUUUGUUCUUUUCCCCCAACCAUACAACUUUUAUGAGAUUUUCACCUGUGAAAAAU